UUUGGCGUUGGCUUUGCUUUCCAUAAUGCUGUUGCCGACGGCAUGUAAUAAGUGGGUUUUACCCAGACCGGUUCCGCCGU
rnacentral:antisense_RNA from 1 species